rnacentral:rRNA from 1 species
CAGCCGCCGCGGUAAUACGUAGGGUGCGAGCGUUAAUCGGAUUUACUGGGCGUAAAGCGUGCGCAGGCGGCCCGUUAAGACAGGUGUGAAAUCCCUGGGCUCAACCUAGGAAUUGCGCUUGUGACUGGCGGGCUCGAGUACGGUAGAGGGGGGUGGAAUUCCUGGUGUAGCAGUGAAAUGCGUAGAGAUCAGGAGGAACACCGAUGGCGAAGGCAGCCCCCUGGGCCUGUACUGACGCUCAUGCACGAAAGCGUGGGGAGCAAACAGGAUUAGAUACCCUGGUAGUCCACGCCCUAAACGAUGGGUACUAGCCGUUUGGUGCGCGAUAGCGCUGAGUGGCGAAGCUAACGCGUGAAGUACCCCGCCUUGGGAGUACGGCCGCAAGGUUGAAACUUAAAGGAAUUGGCGGG